GGGUCGGUGGCAUAGUCAGUUGUCGCAUUUGUGUAACCUCGGCGAACCGAAGGUCCUAAGUUCGAUCCUUCGUUGACUCG